GUAUAUUUGUUAAAGUUGCAAGCAACAUUUAAAAUCAUUCUUAGACGUAAAGUUUUUAAAAGUUUUCAUAGCAGCAGUUGAACCGAAAUUCUUCUGCAGCUACAAAGAGUGCACAGGGGUGAGGAAUUGAAAAUAUGAUGUGCACAUAAUCCCGAAAGAUCCAGCAACAAUCACAUCAAUUAAUCAAUAAUGAUCCUUCCGCAGGUUCACCUACGGAAA
rnacentral:misc_RNA from 1 species